GCAGUCGUGGCCGAGUGGUUAAUGCGAUGGACUAGAAAUCCAUUGGGGUCUCCCCGCACAGGUUCGAAUCCUGUCGACUGCG
rnacentral:tRNA from 1 species